AAGUCGUAACAAGGUUUCCGUAGGUGAACCUGCGGAAGGAUCAUUACCAAAUCCAAAUUACCCAACCCCAUGUGAACUAUUGUUUGUUGUCCUUGGGGGAUUGGAGGAAAAGAAUAUAUUUAUUUUAUAUUUUUGGAUUCCUUUCCCCCAAAAGAAUCCGGCACUCCGGUGUUUCGUGAUUCUUGAUAAACUACAGAUUUCUUUUGUUUUUGGAAUGACUUUUUAUUAAAAUUUAAUAAAAGACAACUUUUAACGGUGGAUCUCUUGGCUCGU
rnacentral:misc_RNA from 1 species